AAACAUCAGGGUCCAACCUUAGCUUCACUUCCUGUGCCUUCUAGAGCUUCAGCCUAGGCUAGAAAAUGCCUAACGUAAUGAAAGUGGGAACCUGCUGCUGGAGGCCGUCAGCCCUUUACUUGUACAUAAUGGCAAAAAACAUAUUUCUAGCGGUUUUUCCUUUGAGACCAUCUGACCUUUUAGGGGUUAAAAUAGGACAAGCCUCGCAGUUGUUUAAGGGCCUUUUGUUUAGCAAGGCAGCAAAUGCAGCAAGUAGGUUGGGGGGAGGAUGCAGGGAUAACAGUACAAUAGAGCCCAGGCAGAGACUGAGACAUUGGGGACAAAGGGACCUGACACUGUUUAAAGGUGAAACACUGGAUGAUUCCUUUUUUUUUCAGGAGCAGAGAAAGUAAAAUAGUCACAGUCGGAAUGAGAUCUGAACCUUGCAGAAGGAAGAAUAGUGUGGCCUCUGCUAUUUAGGGAUGAAGAAGUAAUCAGCUGGGAAUGGUGACAAAACCUGAGUGUACUCCGAAGUCCAGUUUUGGAGCAGCCACAGAUCUUUGAAAAUAAAGAUCUAUGCAACAGUACCAUGCUUCAACUUCACAGGAUCAGAGGACACGCAAAAAGCUUCAAAAGCACAGAAUACCGUGCAUGAGAAGACUCAGGGUGAGUCGCAGAUCGGCUGCACUAAGAUUGAUAUGACUGGUGGGAAACUAUCAGAGGCAGAAUAAAGUACAACAGAGGGAACUUAAAAAAUUAUGUAAGGGUUACAGGUAUAUAAAGCAAAUGGUAGUAAUGCAAGGGGCUAACAAAAGAUGAUAGUGUAGAUAGUCCUAGAAUUAAGACUAUGGAGGAAUGUAACUACUUAAAUGUAUCUGAAGUAAAGAAGCAGCUGGGCAAGGGUUUGUAAACUAAAGUAUGAGAGGGACCACAUCACAGAAAGAGGCAGGGCUGCUUUAAGGCAUAGGUUUGGCUACAGGAAAGACUGGUGGGCAUCACGUCUGUCCCCAACGUAAUGGUACUACUUAACCCUGUUUAAUAUGCACAUACAGUUUCUCUCAGAAUUAAUAAUAUUUUAGGUGUAUUAUUGUUGAGCAGAAAAGAGCACAACUCUUAUGAAAAAGUAACAUUAUAAACAUACAGCCUUGUCUGGGUAUUAUCUGAAAACUAAAACUGAAUUAACGUAAGGCUAGAGCCCCCUACGCUGGCACCAGCCUGCUAAUUUGCGUGCACCUGGUAUCAUUGUCUUUUUUGUUUUUUGCUGAUAACCACCGCGUCUGCCCGCACCCGAGUGGAGACAGUGCCUCCAGGUGCAGGCAAGGCUGGUGCCAGCGUAGGGGGCUCUAGCCUUUGUAAUUCAGUUUUAGUUUUCAGAUAAUACCCACACAAGGCUGUAUGUCGAGAAUCUGCCCUGUGUGGCACUAGCCUAAAAUCUAAAGUAAAAAAAAAAACAAGAAAAUAAUGGAUGGUGGUAAAAAAGUGGUUUUAAAAGAAGUUUUCCAUGCAGGUACAAAUAUGCCCACUCAGGAUGCUCUAGGUUACAUCCAGCUACUUCAUUUCCUGUUAAAGAGAGAGAGAAGAGUUCUUAUCUUUGAUUUCAGCAUUCCAGUUAAUAAAUGAUUACACUAACAAGGGGGUGUCAUUGUGCGUAAUGGAAAAGUACUUGAUUAGACCAACGCACAGGGGCACUUUUGGCAGAAAUCAAUAUAACCUUUAUUUAUGAAGUGUGAGGCAGAGUGCAAGGUGCAAAGAAGAGCUCAAAGCACCAUGUGCAUUUGCACCCAAUCCCACACUUAGUGCCCAUAGAACUGAGCCUCACCUAUGAACGCAGCACUGCAUGUGUUUGACAGCUCUGUAUUCAAGAGGGGUGGUUUUUGGAGAAGUAGGUGAGCACCCACUAAGACGCCCCCUAGCUUGCAUGUCAUUUAGAGACAUUAAAUAAGGAAUGCCAACAGGUGCAAAAAGCAGCAGGGGCCUUUACUUACUUUUUAGUACCAGGCUGUGUUAUGCCUGCUGUGUCCAUGGGAUGUGCAGAAUCUUUUCUAUUCUGAAACUUUCAGUUUCAGUUAUACCUAGAUCAGAGUAUAGAGAAUUUAGAGUUUAGAUUACUUUAUUGCCAUUGGUUUUCCAGAUUUAUAACAAUGCAAAAGAAAGCUAACACCAUUGUUGGCUUUAGGAAUUGGGUCUGGAUCUCAUGGAAUCUGAAAAACACUUUUCCCAUGAUAAAAAAUAUUAUACUUCGGUAUAUACUCAGGCAAGGUAAUGGGGGCUCCUACCCAGGGAUGGCAAUGCAGGCUCCCAUUUGAUAAUGUCAGUAGAACACAGCUGGCUGGCAAUAAUCUGAUAAAUAUUAACAAGGCCAUGCCAGGAGAUCGACAGUCUCUACUGAGACUUUUGUGCCUUGCCUCCUGCCACUGUCAGAGUUAAAGAAAAACAUCACAGAAUCAAGAUACCCAAAGAGGUGAAAAAAAAACAAAGGAACAUCUUAUCGAAUGAGAAUGUGAUGGCUGGAUAAUAUGUCCCAACUAUACCCUUUACUAUAGAAAGCAGAAAGGUCAGGGAGAAAACCUGAUAUACUUAUAAUUCAUACAGGUAGCAAUAACAUGGCAGAGGUAAAAUCUUUUCAGAGUGGGAUCCCUCUUUGUUGGUAGCAGGGCAAGACCCAAAACAUUUUGAAAAUUUAUCAGCCUAAUUAUUUUUGAGAGAGGGUAACCACUGGGCACCUGUCUGACUCUGUUUUUUUGUAGGUCAUUCAGAAAACCAGGAAAAUUAUUUCGAAGCAAUGACUGCCAUCCACACCAGGUAAUUUGCUUCCUUCUAGAACUGGGGUUGAAUGGUCAAGGGAGAAUACCCUGCAUUUUUAUAAGUUAAAUUCAGUGUCCAACCCAUUCCCAUGUGGAGACUGUGUUGUUGAAAUUGUACAAUAAAGCCACAGGCUUCCUUUUUUCCUCAAA